rnacentral:rRNA from 1 species
UACCUAGAGUUUGUAGACUUCGGUCUGCUACCUCUUACCCAUGUCUUUUGAGUACCUUCGUUUCCUCGGCGGGUCCGCCCGCCGAUUGGACAACAUUCAAACCCUUUGCAGUUGCAAUCAGCGUCUGAAAAAACAUAAUAGUUACAACUUUCAACAACGGAUCUCUUGGUUCUGGCAUCGAUGAAGAACGCAGCGAAAUGCGAUAAGUAGUGUGAAUUGCAGAAUUCAGUGAAUCAUCGAAUCUUUGAACGCACAUUGCGCCCCUUGGUAUUCCAUGGGGCAUGCCUGUUCGAGCGUCAUUUGUACCUUCAAGCUCUGCUUGGUGUUGGGUGUUUGUCUCGCCUCUGCGUGUAGACUCGCCUUAAAACAAUUGGCAGCCGGCGUAUUGAUUUCGGAGCGCAGUACAUCUCGCGCUUUGCACUCAUAACGACGACGUCCAAAAGUACAUUUUUACACUCUUGACCUCGGAUCAGGUAGGGAUACCCGCUGAACUUAAGCA